AAUAUUGGACAAUGGGCGAAAGCCUGAUCCAGCCAUGCCGCGUGUGUGAAGAAGGUCUUCGGAUUGUAAAGCACUUUAAGUUGGGAGGAAGAGUUGUAGGCUAAUACCUUGCAAUUUUGACGUUACCAACAGAAUAAGCACCGGCCAACUCUGUGCCAGCAGCCGCGGUAAUACAGAGGGUGCAAGCGUUAAUCGGAAUUACUGGGCGUAAAGCGCGCGUAGGUGGUUCAGUAAGAUGGAAGUGAAAUCCCCGGGCUUAACCUGGGAACUGCUUUCAAAACUGACGAGCUAGAGUACGGUAGAGGGUGGUGGAAUUUCCUGUGUAGCGGUGAAAUGCGUAGAUAUAGGAAGGAACAUCAGUGGCGAAGGCGACUACCUGGACUGAUACUGACACUGAGGUGCGAAAGCGUGGGGAGCAAACAGG
rnacentral:rRNA from 1 species